UACGUAGGGGGCUAGCGUUGUCCGGAAUCAUUGGGCGUAAAGAGCGUGUAGGCGGCCCGGUAAGUCCGCUGUAAAAGUCAAAGGCUCAACCUUUGAAUGUCAGUGGAUACUGCCGGGCUAGAGUCCGGAAGAGGCGAGUGGAACUCCUGGUGUAGCGGUGGAAUGCGCAGAUAUCAGGAGGAACACCGGUGGCGAAGGCGGCAUCCUGGACCAACACUGACGCUGAGGAGCGAAAGCCAGGGGAGCAAACGGG
rnacentral:rRNA from 1 species